rnacentral:rRNA from 1 species
AGAGUUUGAUCCUGGCUCAGGACGAACGCUGGCGGCGCGCCUAACACAUGCAAGUCGAACGGAGCUGAGAGGAGCUUGCUUUUCUUAGCUUAGUGGCGAACGGGUGAGUAACGCGUGAGUAACCUGCCCUGGAGUGGGGGACAACAGUUGGAAACGACUGCUAAUACCGCAUAAGCCCACGGCCCGGCAUCGGGCUGCGGGAAAAGGAUUUAUUCGCUUCAGGAUGGACUCGCGUCCAAUUAGCUAGUUGGUGAGGUAACGGCCCACCAAGGCGACGAUUGGUAGCCGGACUGAGAGGUUGAACGGCCACAUUGGGACUGAGACACGGCCCAGACUCCUACGGGAGGCAGCAGUGGGGGAUAUUGCACAAUGGGGGAAACCCUGAUGCAGCGACGCCGCGUGGAGGAAGAAGGUUUUCGGAUUGUAAACUCUUGUCGUUAGGGACGAUAAUGACGGUACCUAACAAGAAAGCACCGGCUAACUACGUGCCAGCAGCCGCGGUAAAACGUAGGGUGCAAGCGUUGUCCGGAAUUACUGGGUGUAAAGGGAGCGCAGGCGGACCGGCAAGUUGGAAGUGAAAACCAUGGGCUCAACCCAUGAAUUGCUUUCAAAACUGCUGGCCUUGAGUAGUGCAGAGGUAGGUGGAAUUCCCGGUGUAGCGGUGGAAUGCGUAGAUAUCGGGAGGAACACCAGUGGCGAAGGCGACCUACUGGGCACCAACUGACGCUGAGGCUCGAAAGCAUGGGUAGCAAACCAGGAUUAGAUACCCUGGUAGUCCAUGCCGUAAACGAUGAUUACUAGGUGUUGGAGGAAUUGACCCCUUCAGUGCCGCAGUUAACACAAAUAAGUAAUCCACCUGGGGAGUACGACCGCAAGGUUGAAACUCAAAGGAAUUGACGGGGGCCCGCACAAGCAGUGGAGUAUGUGGUUUAAUUCGAAGCAACGCGAAGAACCUUACCAGGUCUUGACAUCCGAUGCAUAGUGCAGAGAUGCAUGAAGUCCUUCGGGACAUCGAGACAGGUGGUGCAUGGUUGUCGUCAGCUCGUGUCGUGAGAUGUUGGGUUAAGUCCCGCAACGAGCGCAACCCUUAUUGCCAGUUACUACGCAAGAGGACUCUGGCGAGACUGCCGUUGACAAAACGGAGGAAGGUGGGGAUGACGUCAAAUCAUCAUGCCCUUUAUGACCUGGGCUACACACGUACUACAAUGGCGUUUAACAAAGAGAAGCAAGACCGCGAGGUGGAGCAAAACUCAGAAACAACGUCUCAGUUCAGAUUGCAGGCUGCAACUCGCCUGCAUGAAGUCGGAAUUGCUAGUAAUCGCGGAUCAGCAUGCCGCGGUGAAUACGUUCCCGGGCCUUGCACUCACCGCCCGUCA